rnacentral:rRNA from 1 species
CAGUUCGGACUGUAGGCUGCAACUCGCCUACACGAAGCUGGAAUCGCUAGUAAUCGCGGAUCAGCACGCCGCGGUGAAUACGUUCCCGGGCCUUGUACACACCGCCCGUCACACCAUGAGAGUCUGUAACACCCAAAGCCGGUGGGAUAACCUUUAUAGGAGUCAGCCGUCUAAGGUAGGACAGAUGAUUAGGGUGAAGUCGUAACAAGGUAGC